rnacentral:rRNA from 1 species
UUAGUUUUUUAAUUGAGAUCUUGUAUGAAUGGUUGGACAAAAGAAAUACUGUCUCUGUAAUUAUUGUUGAAUUUAACAUUUAAGUGAAAAGGCUUAAAUUAUUUAAAAAGACGAUAAGACCCUAUAAAGCUUUAUAAGUGUAUAUUAUUUAAUUGAAUUAACUGAUAAAAUUUAAAUGAUUUAAUUAUUCUGUUGGGGAGAUAAUAUUAUAAUUAAAAGUAACUGUUAGUAAAUAUUACAAUUAUAGAUGAUUAAUAAAAGUAAAAGAUCCUAAUUAAAGAUUGGAAGUUUAAGUUACUUUAGGGAUAACAGCGUUAUUUUCUUUGAGAGCUCGUAUCGAAAAGAAAGAUUGCGACCUCGAUGUUGAAUUAAAAUUUCUAAGUGAUUGCAGAAGUUAUUUUAGAGGGUCUGUUCGACCCUUAAAUUUUUACAUGAUUUGAGUUCAGACCGGCGUGAGCCAGGUUGGUUUCUAUC